rnacentral:rRNA from 1 species
AAAAAAGCCGGUACAAGCGUAUAGCAGUCAUGCAGGCAAAACCGCAUGAAAAAUGUAAAGCGUUAUGUGGAUCGAACAUUAGUAGAGAAGCGUGUGAGCCAGCUGCCAAGAAAAGCCGCUAUUGCUUCAUAAGUACCCGUACCGUAAACCGACACAGGUGGAUGAGGAGAGAAUCCUAAGGCCGGCGGGAGAAGUGUUGUUAAGGAACUCGGCAAAAUGACUCCGUAACUUCGGGAGAAGGAGUGCCACAGAGAUGUGGCCGCAGAGAAAUGGCCCAAGCAACUGUUUAGCAAAAACACAGGUCUAUGCAAAACCGAAAGGUGAGGUAUAUGGGCUGACGCCUGCCCGGUGCUGGAAGGUUAAGAGGAGAGGUUAGAGCAAUCGAAGCUUUGAAUUUAAGCCCCAGUAAACGGCGGCCGUAACAAUAACGGUCCUAAGGUAGCGAAAUUCCUUGUCGGGUAAGUUCCGACCCGCACGAAAGGCGUAAUGAUUUGGGCACUGUCUCAACAACACACCCGGUGAAAUUGAAAUACCAGUGAAGAUGCUGGUUACCUGCGCCAGGACGGAAAGACCCCAUGGAGCUUUACUCCAGUUUGAUACUGGGAUUCGGUACUGUCUGUACAGGAUAGGUGGGAGGCUAGGAAAUGGUGACGCCAGUUGCCAUGGAGCCAACCUUGGGAUACCACCCUUACAGUACUGGGUUUCUAACCUGCAGCCGUGACCCGGCUGGGGGACAAUGUCUGACGGGGAGUUUGACUGGGGCGGUCGCCUCCGAAAGAGUAUCGGAGGCGCUCAAAGGUUCCCUCAGAACGGUUGGAAACCGUUCGAAGAGUGCAAAGGCAGAAGGGAGCUUGACUGCGACACCGACGGGUGGAGCAGAUACGAAAGUAGGACUUAGUGAUCCGGUGGUAUAAAGUGGGAUUGCCAUCGCUCAACGGAUAAAAGCUACCCUGGGAUAACAGGCUUAUCACUCCCAAGAGUUCACAUCGACGGAGUGGUUUGGCACCUCGAUGUCGGCUCAUCGCAUCCUGGAGCUGUAGCAGGUUCCAAGGGUUGGGCUGUUCGCCCAUUAAAGCGGUACGCGAGCUGGGUUCAGAACGUCGUGAGACAGUUCGGUCCCUAUCCGGCGUGGGCGUAGGAUAUUUGAGAGGAGCUGUCCUUAGUACGAGAGGACCGGGAUAGACAAACCUCUGGUGUAUCUGUUGUUUUACCAAAGGCAUGGCAGAGUAGCCAAGUUUGGCAGGGAUAAACGCUGAAGGCAUCUAAGCGAGAAGCCCCCCCCAAGAUAAGAUAUCCCAUCUUCGGAGUAAGACCCCUUGAAGACUACAAGGUUGAUAGGCUUCAGGUGUAAGUGUGGUAACGCACUCAGCUGUGAAGUACUAAUAGGUCGAGGACUUACC